UACGAAGGGGGCUAGCGUUGCUCGGAAUCACUGGGCGUAAAGGGCGCGUAGGCGGCGUUUUAAGUCGGGGGUGAAAGCCUGUGGCUCAACCACAGAAUGGCCUCGAUACUGGGACGCUUGAGUAUGGUAGAGGUUGGUGGAACUGCGAGUGUAGAGGUGAAAUUCGUAGAUAUUCGCAAGAACACCGGUGGCGAAGGCGGCCAACUGGACCAUU
rnacentral:rRNA from 1 species